rfam:Aspergillus bombycis strain NRRL26010 contig00005, whole genome shotgun sequence.
ACGUCUCUUGCCUCGCUCGGUCCUCUGCCUCACUUGGUUGAUCUUGAGCUGGAUGCAGCAUGGACUCUCAGAGUUCACCCUGUAUGAGACAAGAAAGAGGCUAACGCCCUCGACGAUCUUUGAGUACGGUUUUAUCUGCAUGCCACAGAUAUGAAUCGUAAUUUAUCCGUCGGGACAGUU